GCUAUGCAGUUGUUCAUGAGCU
rnacentral:miRNA from 1 species